GAUGAACGCUGGCGGCGUGCCUAAUACAUGCAAGUCGAACGCGCAGCGAGAGGUGCUUGCACCUUUCAAGCGAGUGGCGAACGGGUGAGUAACACGUGGAUAACCUGCCUCAAGGCUGGGGAUAACAUUUGGAAACAGAUGCUAAUACCGAAUAAAACUUAGUAUCGCAUGAUAUAAAGUUAAAAGGCGCUACGGCGUCACCUAGAGAUGGAUCCGCGGUGCAUUAGUUAGUUGGUGGGGUAAAGGCUUAGCAAGACAAUGAUGCAUAGCCGAGUUGAGAGACUGAUCGGCCACAUUGGGACUGAGACACGGCCCAAACUCCUACGGGAGGCUGCAGUAGGGAAUCUUCCACAAUGGGUGCAAGCCUGAUGGAGCAACGCCGCGUGUGUGAUGAAGGCUUUCGGGUCGUAAAGCACUGUUGUAUGGAAAGAAAUGCUAAAAUAGGGAAUGAUUUUAGUUUGACGGUACCAUACCAGAAAGGGACGGCUAAAUACGUGCCAGCAGCCGCGGUAA
rnacentral:rRNA from 1 species